GAUGAACGCUGGCGGCGUGCUUAACACAUGCAAGUCGAACGGGAAACCUUUUAAUGAAGCUUCGGCAGAUUUCGCUGGUUUCUAGUGGCGGACGGGUGAGUAACGCGUGGGUAACCUGCCUUAUACAGGGGGAUAACAGUCAGAAAUGACUGCUAAUACCGCAUAAGCGCACAGGACCGCAUGGUCCGGUGUGAAAAACUCCGGUGGUAUAAGAUGGACCCGCGUUGGAUUAGAUUGUUGGUGGGGUAACGGCUCACCACGGCGACGAUCCAUAGCCGGCCUGUGAGGGUCAGCGGCCACACUGGGACUGAGCCACGGCCCAGACUCCUACGGGAUGCAGCAGUGGGGAAUAUUGCACAAUGGGGGGAACCCUGAUGCAGCGACGCCGCGUGAAGGAAGAAGUAUCUCGGUAUGUAAACUUCUAUCAGCAGGGAAGAUAGUGACGGUACCUGACGAGGAAGCCCCGGCUAACUACGUG
rnacentral:rRNA from 1 species